GACGAACGCUGGCGGCGUGCUUAACACAUGCAAGUCGAGCGAUGAAGCACCUUCGGGUGUGAAUUAGCGGCGAACGGGUGAGGAACACGUGAAGAAUCUGCCUUCCACUCUGGGAUAACUCCGGGAAACCGGGGCUAAUACCGGAUAUGCGCCUUGAGCGCAUGUUAGGGGCUGGAAAGUUUUUCGGUUGAAGAUGACUUCGCGGCCUAUCAGCUUGUUGGUGAGGUAAUGGCUUACCAAGGCGACGACGGGUAGCCGGCCUGAGAGGGCGACCGGCCACACUGGUACUGAGGCACGGCCCAGACUCCUACGGGAGGCAGCAGAGGGGAAUAUUGGGCAAUGGAGGAAACUCGGACCCGGCGACGCCGCGUGAGGGAUGAAGGCCUUCGGGUUGUAAACCUCUUUCAGUAGGGCAGAAGCGAAGGUGACGGUAUCUACAGAAGAAGCACCGGCUAACUAUGUGCCAGCCGCCGCCGUAA
rnacentral:rRNA from 1 species